rnacentral:rRNA from 1 species
UACGUAGGGGGCAAGCGUUGUCCGGAUUUAUUGGGCGUAAAGCGCGCGCAGGCGGCUGGUUAAGUCUGCUGUGAAAUCUCCCGGCUCAACUGGGAGGGGGCGGCGGAGACUGGGCGACUGGAGGGACCUAGAGGCCGGUGGAAUUCCCGGUGUAGUGGUGAAAUGCGUAGAGAUCGGGAGGAACACCUGUGGCGAAGGCGGCCGGCUGGGGGUACCCUGACGCUGAGGCGCGACAGCGUGGGGAGCGAACCGG